AUCCCCAUCUAAAUGCUGGAGCGAGGAGUUAAAUUAUUCCAGAAGGCCCGCCAGGGUCUGAUUUGCCACUGUCUGCUUCCUCGUUGCCUUUGAAUGGGACCCUUGAUCCAAGGCUUUCAGAGACCAGCCGGUGCUGAUGGGGGUCCGUGACUUGGCGGUGGCGCCUGCUUGCUCCUUCUCUGUCUCGAGCAUGGUUUUCUAUCCUGCCGGGGAGGGCGAGAGCGCUGGGCAGAGGUGGCACCUGACCCGCUAGAACUCCGAUGUCACUGCUGUGGCUGUUACUCCCCUCCGCAAGAGUCAAGGCGCACGCAGGACGAUGGCUACAUCGCUCAUUCUGGAUGCUGCCAGAUCAUUCCCACCACCUGCCAUUGUGUUGUCUCCAGACAACGGCAGACAACCACAGAAGCUUCGAAGCCCUAAGGCUACUUGGAGAGAAGAAGACUGUCCCUGGCAAAGACUCCUUCCUUGCCAUCUGGAUCUCCCAGCUUCCCCCCGAAGAGUAGAGAUAGAAGGAGCAAGCAGAUCUUCUAAAGGUAGACACCACUACACCCAGCAUUGCCGGUCUUUGAAAUUAAACACGGAUUUAACAGAUUGCUAA
rnacentral:lncRNA from 1 species